UGUCUAAGUCUUCUAACAGUGAGUAAAGC
rnacentral:sRNA from 1 species